ACCCUAUUGACCCCAUUGGAUCCUAUUGACCCCAUUGGGACACACCACGACCCCACUGACCCCAUUGGGAUGCACCACGACCCCACUGACCCCAUUGGGUUCCAUUGGCCCCAUUGAGUCCCACCACCACCCCGCUGAUCCCAUUGGGUCCUAUUGACCCCACUGGGACCCACCACAACCCCAUUGACCCCAUUGGGACACACCACGACCCCAUUGACCCGAUUGGGUCCUAUUGACCCCAUUGGGACACACCAUGACCCUAUUGACCCCAUUGGAUCCGAUUGACCCCAUUGGGACACACCAUGAACCCACUGACCCCAUUGGAUCCUAUUGACACCAUUGGGACACACCAUGACCCCAUUGACCCCUUUGGGUCCUAUUGACCCCAUUGGGACACACCACGACCCCAUUGACCCCAUUGGGUCCUAUUGACCCCAUUGGGACACACCACGACUCCAUUGACCCCAUUGGGUCCCACCACGAUCCCAUUGACCCCAAUGGGUCCCAUUGACCCCAUAGUGCCCCACUGACCCCACUGAGUCCCUCCACGACCCCAUUGACCCCAUUGUCUUCCAUUGAACCCAUUGGGACCCACCACAACCCCAUUGACCCCAUUGGGAUGCACCAUGACCCCAUUGACCCCAUUGGGUCCUAUUGACCCCAUUGGGACGCACCACGACCCCAUUGACCCCAUGAUGCCCCACUGACCCCAUGGUGCCCCGCUGACCCCAUAAGUGCCCCAUUGACCCCAUUGAAUCCCACCACCACCCCNNNNNCUGGGACCCACCACGACCCCAUUGACCCCAUUGGGUCCUAUUGACCCCAUUGGGACACACCACGACCCCACUGACCCCAUUGGGUCCUAUUGACCCCAUUGGGACGCACCACGACCCCAUUGACCCCAUGAUGCCCCAGUGACCCCAUGGUGCCCCCGCUGACCCCAUAAGUGCCCCCGCAGGCCAAAGGGAUUUACGAGAAGGUGGGGGAGGCGACGGAGACGGCGCUGACGUGUUUGGUGGAGAAGAUGAACGUCUUCAACACCGACGUGCGGAGCCUCUCCAAAGUGGAGCGCGCCAACGCCUGCAACUCCGUCAGUGCCCCAUGCAUCCCAUAAUGUCCCUCGUGUCCCUUGUACCCCUCUAUAGCCCCAUGCGGCCCCAUAGAUCCCCUUAUAUCCCUUGUAUCCCCGUACGGCCCCAUAGAUCCCCUUAUAUCCCCUUGUAACCCCAUAUGGCCCCAUACGGCCCCAUAGAUCCCGUUAUAUCCCUUAUAUCCAUUUAUAUCCCAUUAUAUCCCCAUAUGGCCCCAUAGAUCCUG
rnacentral:lncRNA from 1 species